UGCAAUUUAGAGAAAAUUGCAACUUUUGGCCCAAAGGUUUGAAUAAUUAAAUUCAAACCUAUAGUUUUUUUUAAUAUAAUUUUGGGACUCACAAUCCCAUUUUUAUAUUAUUUUUCUCUCUUCCUCUCACGUUGCUCGGCGUUUUCUCGCAAGGGGGGAUUAUUUUCUUUUUCUUCAGAUUAUAUUGACAAAGAUAGUGGUGAAAAAGGAGUUGUGAAGGGGAACUUGUUAUUCAAGACACAAGGAGCGAGUCCGGCCGAGAAAGCACCAGAGGUGUAAUUAUGGUGUAUGAGACACCAUCUUUUACGUUGCCUCUUAUUUUGGAUUAUACAAUGUAUCUUGUGCCAACUUAGGACAUAUCUUCUUUGUG